rnacentral:lncRNA from 1 species
CAAUGCAAAUUAACACAUCAAGCACUUAAAUUUUAUGAUUGAGUGUCUUAUCUUCAAGUACUUAGGUCAUGCAAAUUUUGAAGAGAUUUCAAUAAUUAAGCAUCUUAUGGGGGGAACGUCAAGAUUAGUUUCACUUGAAAUUUUUGCAAACUAAAGGAUUCAUAGAUAAUUAAGCUUCUUUUAAGUUUCUCAAUUGCAAAUUUUAAUAUGGAGAAGCUAAGAUACCAUGUUAAAUUUUAAGAUAAAUUCAUUUCAUAUUGAUUCAACACAUGACACAUAGAGAAGAGAAUAUUGAUUUUUAAAAUGAAAACAUUCAACUCAUUGCAAACAUCAAAAUCAGUUAAUCAUACUAAUCUUAUCAAUACAUAAAAAGUAUUUCAAGUAAACAUAAUAUAAAAUCAUAUUAAUAAAUUAUUAAAAUAAAUUCAAUCAAAAUAAUUUUAACAAUCAUUGAUGGA